rnacentral:tRNA from 2 species
UGGGGCGUCGCCAAGUGGCUAAGGCAGCGGGUUUUGAUCCCGCCAUUCGGAGGUUCGAGUCCUCCCGCCCCAGCCA